rnacentral:rRNA from 1 species
GAUGAACGCUGGCGGCGUGCCUAAUACAUGCAAGUCGAGCGGACGGACGAGGAGCUUGCUUCUCUGAUGUUAGCGGCGGACGGGUGAGUAACACGUGUAUAACCUACCUAUAAUACUGAGAUAACUUCGGGAAACCGGAGCUAAUCCCGGAUAAUAUUUUGAACCGCAUGGUUCAAAAGUAAAAGACGGUCUUGCUGCCACUUAUAGAUGGAUCCCCGCUGCAUUAGCUAGUUGGUGAGGUAACGGCUUACCAAGGCAACGAUGCCUAGCCGACGUGAGAGGGUGAUCGGCCACCCUGGAAGUGGGACACGGACCAGACGCCUACGGGAGGCAGCAGUAGGGAAUCUUACGCAAUGGGGGAAAGCAUGGCGGAGCAACGCCGCGUGAGUGAUAAAGGUCUUCGGAUCGUAAAACUCUGUUAUUAGGGAAGAACAUAUGUGUAAGUAACUGUGCAGAGCUUGACGGUACCUAAUAAGAAAGCCACGGCUAACUACGUG